UCUCAGGUCUCCACACCAGCAGAGAAGGUUGCUGAGACACCUCCAUCCACCAUCACACAGAACAAGGAUGAAUCAGGACCGAUUCUUUCAUCAAACAAAGCUGGAGUCGAUCGUCACCUUGUAAGCUACACGGAUUCUGAUGAGUCUCUGUGUCCAUGCACCAGUUCCUCCCAGCUAAAUGAAAGAUACUCACAGUUGAUUUCCUGUGAGUCGUUGAGGUCUGAGGUGUUGAUCACUGUGGUGUUGGAGGUCAGGGGGCUAGGGGUGGAUGCUGGUGGAGGGUCUGGACAAACCUUCUCUUGUUUUUCUGCUCGGCUUUCUGGCAUUUCUCCUUCCCUUCAGCUUCUGGCUCAGGCUUUAGUUUCAGUUCCUUCUGCAGAUUCCUCUUCAGUUCUGCCAGUCUCUGCUGCAGCUGCUUGAUGGUCCUGUUGUUGUUGCUGAGCUGUUGCUCCAGCUCCCGGUUUACUUUCUGGACAUGAUCUGGCUAUCAGCAGGAAGGUUCGCCCUUAUGAGCUGGGUCCUGCUCAAGGUUACUUGAUUUACAUAGCAGAACAGGACUGUUUUUUUGUUUGUUUUUUUGAGACAGUAUCACUUAAAUGAUUGAUAUUAAUGAAUCAUAUUGUAAUGUUCACAUUCAAAAAAUCUGCUUGGAUUUGCAAAAAAUUGUUUUGAUACAAUUUAUUUUUCUUAUGUGAUAGCAGGGCUGUCAAGCUAUUAAAAAAUAGCCCUUGACCCAUGUCUGUCUGUUACUUAAGAUGACUUGUAGUAAUAAAAUCUUAAACAUUGCAUCA